GGAACCUGGUUGAUCCUGCCAGUAGCAUACGCUUGUCUCAAAGAUUAAGCCAUGCAUGUCUAAGUAUAAACGAUUCUAUACUGUGAAACUGCGAAUGGCUCAUUAUAUCAGUUAUAGUUUAUUUGAUGGUCUUUGCUACUUGGAUAACCGUAGUAAUUCUAGAGCUAAUACAUGCAUCAAACCCUGACUUCUGG
rnacentral:rRNA from 1 species